GAUGAAGAACGUAGCGAAAUGCGAUAAGUAAUGUGAAUUGCAGAAUUCAGUGAAUCAUCGAAUCUUUGAACGCACAUUGCGCCCGCCAGUAUUCUGGCGGGCAUGCCUGUUCGAGCGUCAUUACAACCCUCAGGCCCCCGGGCCUGGCGUUGGGGAUCGGCGGAGCCCCCCGUGGGCACACGCCGUCCCCCAAAUACAGUGGCGGUCCCGCCGCAGCUUCCAUCGCGUAGUAGCUAACACCUCGCGACUGGAGAGCGGCGCGGCCACGCCGUAAAACACCCAACUCUUCUGAAUGUUGACCUCGAAUCAGGUAGGAAUACCCGCUGAACUUAAGCAUAUCAAUAAGCGGAGGA
rnacentral:misc_RNA from 1 species